GAAAGCCGAUAUUUUUUUUCUCAGUCAUGACACAAUAAUUUUUCCAAAAAGGACGGGAUUUCUAGUUUGCAGGGCGGCCGUGGCAGCAGCAUCUCUAUCGAUUCUUACACUACAGGAAGCUCCGGCACUACCAUGGCUUCAGCGUGGGCACAGAAGACCAUCGUUCUUCCACCCCAGAAGCGAGGAUGCCAUCUUGUCACAGCAAGGAUACUGAAGGACAUUGAGCAAGACCUUUCAAGAUUUAAAUGCGGUUUUGCUCAUUUAUUCUUGCAACAUACAAGUGCUUCUUUGACCAUAAAUGAGAAUUAUGACUCAGAUGUACAGGCUGACACUGAAACCUUCCUUAGCCGUAUAGUUCCAGAGGGGCGAACUGCACCGUGGAAGCACACGUUGGAAGAUGGCCACAGGUGGUACUGGCGAUCAGCCACCUUAGCAACCGCAUGUUCUUUGCAAUAUAGCGAAUACUUACAAGAGCAGGAAGAAUGGCAUGCCUUCUUCCACACCUGUUGCUGCUUUCCCACCUGUUGUAGAUGCCACACUUGAAUUUUCUCCCGCACAGAUUCGACUUCCUGCCUAACAGAUAAAAAAAAUUGAUUUUUUCACGUUUUUUUUUGACUCGUAAUGUUUAAAAUGAUAAUUAAUAAUUGACUUUUAUUAUGUAGGAGUUCGAGCAGCUCCGAGAGAGGCAGUUGAUCUCCUAGAUCCUGAGCAUUGACAGCAGUAAUGCUAGCCAGUCUACCACUGCGUAGUCUAAGUUUGAGCUAUGGACGCAGGUGGCGGGGAAGAAGAAAGUCGAGAUCUCUCGUGCUUCUGCGCAUGGCACGAGCUUGUUCUUGACCUCAUUUUUGGGCCCUGAUGAUAUGCCAGCACAUAUUAAAUCAUCAAUGUUUGGCUGUGCCCUCACGAUUCCUGUUACUGAUGG